CUUCUGAACUUCUGAAAUUCUAGUCUCCAACAACGGGAUGAGCUCUCAGGAAAGCACAGCUCAGCAGAUGGUGUCUGAUCACAACCUGAUCCAUGUCUUGGUGCGCUUCCUGUCUGGCAGCAGCACCAAUGGGACAAGCCAACACAGCUCUCAGGUGGGACCAACUGCCACCCAGGCCAUGCACGAGUUCCUGAGCCGCUGCAGGUUCACCUGUCCUCCACAUGUCCACAGAUGUUCAGCGAGUUCCUGCUCAAACUCAUGCACAUCUUGUCUACUGAGAGGGGUCCAUUCCAGUCAGGCCAGGGUCCAUUGGACGCCCAGGUGAAGCUGCUUGAGUUUACUCUAGAGCAAA